rnacentral:rRNA from 1 species
CAGUCGCCACGGUAAAACGUAGGUGGCAAGCGUUGUCCGGAUUUAUUGGGCGUAAAGCGAGCGCAGGCGGUUUCUUAAGUCUGAUGUGAAAGCCCCCGGCUCAACCGGGGAGGGUCAUUGGAAACUGGGAGACUUGAGUGCAGAAGAGGAGAGUGGAAUUCCAUGUGUAGCGGUGAAAUGCGUAGAUAUAUGGAGGAACACCAGUGGCGAAGGCGGCUCUCUGGUCUGUAACUGACGCUGAGGCUCGAAAGCGUGGGGAGCGAACAGGAUUAGAUACCCGAGUAGUCCCUGUCUCUUAUAU